CGCUAUCACUCCUACGGGAGGCAGCAGUGGGGAAUAUUGCACAAUGGGGGAAACCCUGAUGCAGCCAUGCCGCGUGUGUGAAGAAGGCCUUCGGGUUGUAAAGCACUUUCAGUAGGGAGGAAGGUAGUGUAGUUAACACCUGCAUUAUUUGACGUUUACCUACAGAAGAAGCACCGGCUAACUCCGUGCCAGCAGCCGCGGUAAUACGGAUGGUGCGAGCGUUAAUCGGAAUUACUGGGCGUAAAGCGCAUGCAGGCGGCCUGUUAAGUCAGAUGUGAAAGCCCGGGGCUUAACCUCGGAAUUGCAUUUGAAACUGGCAGGCUAGAGUCUUGUAGAGGGGGUAGAAUUUCAGGUGUAGCGGUGAAAAUGCGUAGAGAUCUGAAGGAAUACCAGUGGCGAAGGCGGCCCCCUGGACAAAGACUGACGCUCAGAUGCGAAAGCGUGGGGAGCAAACAGGAUUAGAUACCCUGGUAG
rnacentral:rRNA from 1 species